UUAAAAAGUGACGUUGCGUCAUGUAAAGGGGCAUUUUUCUGGAUCAGACCGGUCGUCAGCAAAUCACAUUUUGGGUAUACAAUGACGGAUUUAAUCGGGAAAAAGACCCAAUUGUGAUGUUUAUGUGACAUAUAGGAGUGCCAAGAAAGAAGCUCGUCAAAGAGGCAUCAUGCCAGACCAGGAUCAGAGGCUAUGGUUGGAUCAAGAUGGUGACCUGGCUGCACUGCUGCAGCAGGCAGAGGCCAAUGUCAAACGGCAACUGGAGGGCCUACGGGCUCAGCUGGAACAAGAUGGACAGGUAUGGUGUGAGGAGGUGGCCCUGGCCUGCCUUAGACACCUAGAUGAACAGCAUUUGAAGAUCCUCAGAGGCCUGGUGGUCAGACAGAGCCACGAGGGGAUGUUGAUCGAGAAGAAACAAUAACUACUGCUAGCUGUGGUGUAGAGGCACUUUUUGGCCAGACACUUCUGCCUGAGGAUCCUGAAGGAGAUGAGGCUGUCCAAGCUCAAGGUGCUGUCUCAGAGUGACUUCAGGUCCCUGCUGGCUCUAGUGAACCAGACCCAGGCAACAGUCAGCCCAACCAAGAUGAAAGCUCAGAAUCCGGUCCAGUAACACUUCCACUUACAUUUACAACAAUAAUGAACUACACUGAACAAAAAUAUAAACAAAAAUGUAAAUUGUUGGUCCCAUUUUCCAUACGCGUAUUUCUCUCAAAUUGUCUGCACAAAUGUGUCUACAUCCCUUUUAGUGAGUAUUUCUCCUUUGUCAAGAUAAUCCAUCCACCUGACAGGUGUAGCAUAUCAAGAAGCUGAUUAAACAGCAUGAUCAUUACACAGGUGCUAGGGACAAUAAAAUGGCCACUCUAAAAUGUGCAGUUUUGUUACACAACACAAUGCCACAGAUGUCUCAAGUUUUGAGGGAAUGUGCAAUUGCCAUGCUGACUGUAGGAAUGUCCACCUGAGCUGUUGCCAAAGAAUUGAUUGUUUAUUUCUCUACCAUAAGCCGCCUCCAAUGUUGUUUUAGAGAAUUUGGCAGGUUAUCCAACCAUCCUCAACACACAGACCACUUGUAACCACACCAUCCCAGGACAUCCACAUCUGGCUUCUUCACCUGCGGGAUCGUCUGAGACAAGCCACCCCGCCAGCUGAUGAAACUGAGGAGUAUUUCUGUCUGUAUUAAAAACAUACUGAUUGGCAAGGCCUCCAGUGAGUUGGCUCCACAGGCCCACCCAUGGCUGCACCCCUGCCUAGUCAUGUGAUAUCCAUAGAUUAGGGCCUAAUGCAUUUAUUUCAAUUGACUGAUUUUCUUAUAUGAACUGUAACUUAGUAAAAUUGUUGAAAUUGUUCCAUCUUGCGUUCACAUUUUUGUUCCAUUGAUUUCUUACAACAAAAUGGAGAUGAAGACGUUAGUUUUGUCCAGAGUUUCUUCAAACCAUUCCAAGGGGGUGCACAUUUCUGUUAACAUCCCAGAGCAAACAUGUCUAAUUGCCUAGCCCUUGAUUAGUUGAAUCAGGUGUGUUAGUGGACACUCUAAGAUCCCCCCCAAGGAAUUAAUUGACAAACUGCUUUAGAGGCAUUCACUGAGUAUACAAAACAUUAAGAACACCUGCUCUUUCCAUGACAUAGACUGCCCAGGUGAAUCUAGGUGAAAGCUAUGACUCUAUAUUGAUAUCACUUGUUAAAUCGACUUCAAUCAGUGUAAAUGAAGGGAAGGAGACAGGUUAAAUAAGGGUUUUUAAGCCUUGUGACAAUUGAAACAUGGAUUGUGUAUGUGUGCUGUUCAGAGGGUGAAUGGGCAAGACAAAAUAUUUAAGUGCUUUUGAACAGGGUAUGGUAGUAGGUGCCAGGCGCACCAAUUUGUGUCAAGAACUGCAACACUGCUCGGUUUUUCAUGCUCAACAGUUUCCCGUGUGUAUCAAGAAUGGUCCAACACCCAAAGGACAUCCAACUAGCAACUAGACAUCCAACUAGCCAACUAGACACAACUGUGCGAACCAUUGGCGUUACCAUGGACCAGCAUCCUACUGGAAUGCUUUCGACACCUUGUAGACACCAUGCCCUGACUAACUGAGUCUCUUCUGAGGGCAAAAGGGGGGGUGCAACUCAGUAUUAGGAAGAUGUUUCUAAUGUUCGCUAUACUCCGUCCAACUAUGGCUCUGUUUGAGACUGUCAAGAUGUCCCUGUCACCUUGUCACUGUGGUCUGACACCCACCUCCCUAUGUCUCCAUCUCUCCCUCCAACAGGAUCUCAGUGCCAGAAUCGCCAAGACGCACCUGGGACUGGAGACGCAGCUGAUUGGCCACAGUUUCCAGCAGGAAACUGGAGAUGGGGGCGGAGCUCCUGCAGGCCAACGCCCAGCUGCUGGUGGGACACGCCCUCAGCCAGGGCCUCUGGCAGCAGAUGGAUCAGGCCCCUCCCAGGUCCCAACCUGACCACAGCAGGAAGAGGGGUGGGAACGACGAGAGAACAGCUCUCAGAUUAACAAGGCCCUGCUGAAGGAGCUGGUCAACUGGGGGAGAAAGCCCAUGUCCACUGAGUUUUACCAGAGUAAUACUUAUAUAGAGUUGAACUGCAGAAGAAGAGGAUGUUGGAACCGUAUGACUUGGAGCUGGACGUUGCGUGUGAAACUUUGAGAGCAGGAAGUUAUCCCAGCAAAAAACAUGGAGAAAUUCAAAGGACAGUUACAGGAGGCAGAAGAGGCCUUCAUAGCUAAACUGUCUGCCUUAGGCCGGAUCCACUAUCCUGCAAAGAGCUUGACACUGAGGAUGACAUCAUAGAGGAGGAGAGUCCGACAUUGAAUCCAACAUCCUGGAAGAGGUGGGAGUGUGAAACUCUGCUCAUCAAUCCAACACUAGACAAUUGGAACCCAACUAUGUUUAAUUAAUACCUGAAAGUGUAGCUCUGUGAUGGGGGUGUACUGGGCAUUUUUGCUGUUUUCACGUGAAUGUAACCCUUUUUAAACCUCUUUAUGUACAUUUUGUUUUUUUAUUUACUCUGUGGAGGAGGGUCAUUGUUUCAGAGACACUGUAGAAGGACAGAGUAGGACAGGGUUGGCUGACCUUCUCUAGUCACUCGUAGGCUCAGUCACUGGUAUACUUUUAUUUACAAAGCCAUUUUGGGUUUACUACCUUUUUAUUUGGGCAUUUUUAUUGUUCAGAAAUGUGGUGGGUACUCUCUUCGUUCGCUGGACAUUAUCCUGCUAACUGUUCCACAUGUCCGAGCUGAAUUUGGUAAAAGCGCUUUUAUGUACUCUGCGCCAUAGUCUUGGAACGCCUUACAAAAUACUUUUAAACUGGAAGAACUUGUCUCGAUUGGUAUUUUUAAAUCACUGAUGAAUGAUCUUGAGACUGAUUCCCUGACCUGUCAAUGUUUUUGAUUUGGUGUUUCUGAUUUUGUUAUACUCUUGUGAAUUCUAUGGUUUUUACUAGAUUACUUGUAGUUUUUCAUGUUGUUUGUCUGUAAUUUUUGUAAUGACUUUGGUGCUGCCUAUCUUGGCCAGGACACUCUUGAAAAAGAGAUUUUAAAUCUCAGUGAGCCCUUCCUGGUUAAAUAAAGGUUUAAUAAUAAUAAUUUAAAAAAUACCUACCUUGUGAUCCAGGUACACUCCUACUCUGGAGAACUGAGGGCCUGAUACUUUAGUCACAACAUUAUUGUGUCUGAAACUAUAACUACCACUAGAGUAAUAUAAGGAUCCAGGAUUUGUCAUUGUUUCCGAAUUUACUGUCAUCACCUGCUAUUCUGAUGAUGUCUUUAGAUAAGGCGGCUCUAUAAACCUGCCCUUCACUCCUCUCCACCUCCCAGUAACACCCUUCAGACAGACCCUCUCUGCACAGAACCUGGAAAAAGCUGGUGAAUCUGUCUGGAUGGAAAGGAUGGAGUGGGUUUAAUUCUGUAUUUGUCAACUUUCUGUUCUCCUCAGACAAAGCGAGGUAUGUGUGUACUGUGUUUGGGUCCAAUGUGAGCUGACAUGAAUCUAGAAAAAGAGCGGAGACCAAUGAGGGGAGUUAGAACAAUAAGUUAAGUCAGAUACUGGUACUACCCUCUUUGAUUAUAGCAGAGCAUAGAUCAAAUCAGAGUGAUACUGUCACGUUCUGACCUUUGUUUUCUCUUUGUUUUAGUAUGGUCAGGGCGUGAGUUGGGGUGGGCAGUCUAUGUUCUUUUUUCUAUGAUUUGGGAUUUCUGUGUUUGGCCUGAUAUGGUUCUCAAUCAGAGGCAGCUGUCAAUCGUUGUCCCUGAUUGAGAACCAUACUUAGAUAGCGUGUUUCCACCCUUUAGUUGUGGGUGAUUAUUUUCUGUUGAGUGUUUGUAUUCUGCACCAGACAGAACUGUUUCG
ensembl:lncRNA